rnacentral:tRNA from 1 species
UGGUCAGAAUGGAUAAAAUAAAAAAAAAGUGUCAAAUCGAACCCACGACCUUCCGCUUACCGGGCAGAUGCCAUGACCACUAGGCUACCC